CGAGAAGAACUUUCGUUGUAGUUAUGGUAUCGAAGGCAAAGUCUGCCACAGCUGCUUCAACACCUUCCUCAGAGGCACCCAAGGCCCCUGUCCAGGACUCUGGGUCGUCUGCGGGCCCGGCCCCUGCAGCCAUCCCUAUCCCCCCAGAGGAGCCCACACCUCCAGUCGCAGAGCCCCCAGCUCUGAUGUCCUCUUAGUCUUUCCCACAGUAGUUGUGGGUCAAGACUGUCUUCCAAACUGAUCUGUGAUGUAUGGUCUGUUACAUUGCCAUUCAUUGUUCCAUUACUUUAUUGUAUUUGUGGUUACAUUCAAAUCCUGAGGGAGUGCGUAGAUAGACUGUGCACAGACACACAAUAUU